rnacentral:rRNA from 1 species
GUGAGUCAUCGAGUCUUUGAACGCGAAUGGCACUGUUACGCAAGUAGCAGUAUGUCUGUUUGAGAAUCGCAAAACAAGAUCAACUCUAGUUGAGAGUUGGGAUUGGCCUCAUGUACCUUUGGGUGUAUUUGGCUUGAAUGCAUCGAGUUGAUGAGCUCCCCAAUGCGGCUCAAUGUGUGCUAGCGAGACAGUCGUCCCGAUCUCACAUUUCCGCCGCGUUGCAGAGUUCUACGCACAACCCGCCAACAUAUAUUUAUCAACAAAUACGAUCUCAAAUCAGGCAAGAUUACCCGCUGAACUUAAGCAUAUCAAUAAGCGGAGG